rnacentral:rRNA from 1 species
GUGAGGAAUAUUGGGCAAUGGAGGCAACUCUGACCCAGCCAUGCCGCGUGAGUGAAGAAGGUUUUCGGAUUGUAAAGCUCUUUCGGAUGUGACGAUGAUGACGGUAGCAUCUAAAGAAGCCCCGGCUAACUUCGUGCCAGCAGCCGCGGUAAUACGAAGGGGGCAAGCGUUGUUCGGAAUUACUGGGCGUAAAGGGAGUGUAGGCGGUUUAGUAAGAUAGUGGUGAAAUCCCAGAGCUUAACUUUGGAAUUGCCAUUAUAACUAUUAGACUAGAAUUACAGAGAGGAUAGUGGAAUACCCAGUGUAGAGGUGAAAUUCGUAGAUAUUGGGUAGAACACCAGUGGCGAAGGCGACUAUCUGGCUGUACAUUGACGCUGAGGCUCGAAAGCAUGGGGAUCAAACAGGA